UCCUGGUGACAAUGGCGGAGAGGCCACACCCGUUCCCAUCCCGAACACGGCAGUUAAGCUCUCCUGCGCCGAUGGUACUGCAGAUUCUGUGGGAGAGUAGGACGUUGCCAGGAA
rnacentral:rRNA from 1 species